GCAAUUAGUGUCAAAUGGGGAACGUUUCAUCUGACUCGUGUUAGCGAUCGCAUGCGUUCAUUACCCAGUACCGUGUUCCCACAGGCUGAUAUAUUGCUCUCAUUGUCGCGAACUAACAACGCACUAUUCUGGCUAACGGUCCACAAUACUGACCUCAUACGUCCGCUACAUUGUUACAGCAGACUAACAAAGAAUAAAAACAGACACGGAAAACAUUAGCUAAUGAAUUUCCUGCCCUUACCUCUGUUUUCUUCGCAAAAAGUGAGUCGAGAUUAUAGAAAUGGAGCAAGUAAGGAUGAUUACAGGUGUGCGAGGAUUAGAAGGAAAUGUAACCUUUGGAUGGAAAGGAGUAAUAGGUAGUACAUCGACGUAAUUUAUACCCAUGAUGUAUUCCAGUAAUUUGAAGCUAGUCAUGCUCACUUCAAGGUCCAAUGAUCUGCGCAUUGAUGGCUGACUCAUUCAUUCUACUCGUAAAAGGGAGCUGCGUGUGGGGGCUGGUCUGCUCAUAUUUGCUCGUUUAUUUUAUAUUUAAUAAUAUAUAUAAAUAACUACUAAAUGCUAAUUACAUUCAUAGUACCCAUACAAAUUCUUCUCAGCAGAAAACAACAUUCCGAACCCAGCAGUAAACUCAUAAAAAAUUGACAAUAUAAAAGAGCUUGUAAACAAAUCUAUUUGAAUAAAGAUUAUUUCUAUUCUA